UCAAUUCUCAUACUUCAAUCGAAUUCCAAAAGUUGAAGAUCAAACAUGAGAGGGAGCGGUCUGGUGUGCGUGGCUACUGUCUUGUUCGUCGGGUGCCUUGCUGCGGUCGGACAAUGUAAGCAUAACACCGUCUUAUCAUUAUUUUACAUACACUAGAACAAUGCUCGUGUGUUGCAACGGGAUAUAAAUAUUAUAGUACGUUAGCUUGUGAUUUACCUGUGAAUAAUAAUGCGAUUGUGUAAAUAAAUGUUCAACAAAUUCUGCCCGUGAAUUACCUUAUAUUUUGAUUAGAAGUUUGAUAAAUAAAUUAAAGUGGAAUUGGUUCAGAAGAUAAGUAAUUAAAAUGAUUGGUUAUGGUAUAGAUGAAUGGUUGGACGAAGGGGUGGUGGGAAGAAAGGUGAAAUGAAAACCUUACGCUUUUUUUUCAAGUAGUAGAGAUACAUUGAUGCCUCCAAAUCUACAAUAGUUGUAGAGGUAUAUGUAUAGGCCGUACGUUGUUGUGUUCUAACAUGCAUAUUGUGUUGAAAAUAUGAGCAAAUUACUACGAGAUUUAAUUCGAAUAAACAGAAGAUAAAUCAUGACUACAGUAGCAGAGAUUGAACUAAUCAUGCGAACUAGCAUAGCAGAUGAACAGAUCACAUCUAGGGCACAUACUAGAAACAUGAAUUCUACCACGAUCUCGAACAGGAAAGAUAGAAUCACGUACGGUGCAGCGGGAGCAGCACCGCCGGCGUUGACGUUGUCGCCCAUGUCGUCGAGGAUGAGGUUGCCGAGGUCGGGGAAGAAGUCGUCGUUCGCGAAGUCGUCGCUGCCAGCAGUCGCGCGAGUGCGCUCCCCAAAAACCUGAUCGCCCCUCUCCCGUACAGGAUCAUGAGAGGCGGGGUUCCGGAGGCCUGCUGUCCCUACUCCCAGUGCACGCCGAAAGGAGGGAUGGAGAAGACUUGAUCGGCGGCGCAAUGGACUGGAACGGUGGUGAGAAACCAUACGAAGCGGCGGCGGCUAGGGUAGACGUCUGCCUGACUAUAUAGUGCGGGCUGGGUAGGUCGUGGGAGUAAACCCCACGUCCGAGUCGUCACGAUCCAAAAGAAUCGGAAACGGUUCAGUAAUUAACGCGUCCGUUAAUUAUUAAUUAAUGACUCAUUAAUUUUUCCCGAGCAGCAAAAAUAUAGACAAUGUGCAUAGCUCUGUCCUCGGCUUGGCUCAAUCCCGCAACCCGCGGCGCGUCGUGGCGAGGCGUGGCGUGGCGAGGCGAGCGAGGAGGAGGAGCGCACGUGUAGGUCUCCUCUUCUCAUGCUCAUACAAGUGGUAGGAGAGCUCACCUUAUAAAGAGGUGCAACUCUCUCUCAACUUAUGAGGUGGGACUAAACUUUAGCCUCACUCACUCCACUCACAUGUGUGCAUGAAUGGGCCAAGAGAAUUUCAGAAAUUUAGUUGGGCUUUGGGCCAUAAGCCCACUAGCAAAUUCCAACAAUCCCCCACAAAGUCUCAUUGGCACAUUUCACUAUUUGGUUCCAAAACAUUGUUUAUAUGCCGGUGCUUAGUGGAGACUGUGAAGUUGAACUUCCACUUAGAGAUUUAUGCUACACUAGAUCACAACUUGAAUAGUGGACUAUGCCUUGAACUACAAGUUUUCUGCGAGACUAGUUUCACACAAAUUCUUGACCGGUACUGGGCUGCCGCAAGGCUUCCCCGCGGGUGGAGCGUAUACGUCGUACUCCAGGACCUUUCAUGAAUUUAUUAGAGAGCACCCACUUCUCACAGACUGCGACGUUAACAGUCAAAUUCAUAUAGGUGUGUUCCUCAGGAGAUGCUCUGCAGGACAACAUCUCUGCUUACUCAAAUAAGCCACUUGGAACACAUUAAGAUAGAUAUCAACCUGCCAUGCAGAUCAGGAGAGUAUUGCAUCUUCACGGAGUGGGAUAAUUAAAAUAAGGAUACUCUCCUCUCAGCUGACCAACAGCUUGUCUCCCACUUCUACUUCACGGGAUCUCCGAUCACAUAGAGUGGGUUACCACUAUGGACAACUCAUGCGGUGGGUCUCAAACCCAUCUCCAUCGAUGCAUUAUCUAUCACAUUACGUGAUAGACCCUUUGUGAAGGGAUCUGACAAGUUUUUCGAUGUUUGGAUAUAAUCCAACGUAAUAACUCCGGAGUUUCUCAGUUUCCUGACAGAUUUUAAUCUCCUCUUCACAUGCCUUGAGGACUUCAUAUUGUCCUUAGAACUGUUUAUUUUGACGAUCACAGUUUGAUUAUCACAGUUCAUCAGGAUAGGGGGUAUUGGUUUUUCAACCAUAGGUAAGUCCAUCAAUAGCUCACGAAGCCACUCUGCUUCAACAGUGGCAGUGUCUAAUGUUGUGAGUUCUGCUUCCAUAGUUGACCUCGUUAAGAUGGUCUGCUUGCAAGACUUCCAGGAAACAGCGCCACCACCAAGUGUAAAAACAUAACCACUUGUGGCCUUAAUCUCAUCAGCAUCAGAUAUCCAGUUCGAGUCACUAUAACCCUCCAGUACCCUUGGAUACCCGGUGUAGUGAAUCCCAUAGCUCGUAGUGCCCUUCAAGUAGCGCAUAACUCUCUCAAGCGCACGCCAAUGAUCAUCUCCCGGUUUUGACACAAACCGACUCAGCUUGCUCACAACAAAAGAGAUGUCAGGCCUCGUGGCACUCGCCAAAUACAUAAGCGAGCCAAUAAUCUGAGAGUACCUCAGUUGAUCUCUAGCGAUCCGUCGAUUCUUUCGAAGCAACACACUAGCAUCAUAUGGAGUUGGAGAAGGCGUGCAGUCGCUAUACCCAAAACGACUCAAAACCUUUUCCACAUAGUGAGACUGAAGCAGUGUGAUCCCACCAUUCUCAUCUCUCAACAGCUUGAUGUUUAAGAUAACAUCAGCUACUCCUAGAUCCUUCAUCUCAAAACAGCGAGAUAAGAAAUCCUUAACCUCCUUGAUUAAAUCAAGUUUGGUUCCAAAGAUCAAUAUGUCGUCGACAUACAGACAAAGAAUAAUUCCUUCGCCCCCACCAUGGCGAUAGUACACACACUUGUCACCAUCAUUUACUACAAAGCCGUCAGCAGUUAAUGUUCUUUCGAACUUCUCAUGCCACUCCUUAUGAGCUUGCUUAAGGCCAUAUAAAGACUUUAAUAACUUGCACACCUUUCCUUCUUGACCAGGUACUACAAAACCAUCUGGCUGAUCCAUGUAAAUUUCCUCCUUCAACUCUCCAUUGAGGAAAGCCGUCUUAACGUCCAUUUGAUGAACGAGAAGACCAUGUGAGGCAGCCAGUGAUAGUAGCACCCGAAUUGUGGUCAGUCUAGCCACGGGUGAGUAAGUAUCAAAGAAGUCUUCACCUUCUUUCUGGGUAUAACCCUUAGCCACAAGCCGUGCCUUGUACUUUUCAAUCGUACCAUCAGGUCUAAGCUUCUUCUUGAACACCCACUUACAUCCUACAGGUUUGCACCCAUAAGGACGGUCAUGAUCUCCCAGGUUCCGUUAGCUAAGAUGGAAUCCAUCUCGCUACGAACAGCUUCCUUCCAGUAGUCAGCAUCAGGAGAUGCAUAGGCUUCUGAAAUAGUCCUGGGUGUGUCAUCCACAAGGUACACAAUGAAAUCAUCACCAAAGAACUUUGCAGUCCUCUGUCUCUUACUCCUUAUAGGAGUUUCAUUGUCACCCUCAACAGGAUUCUCAACGUGUUCCAUCACAAUGGUGGGUUCAGGAAUUACAGUGAGUUCCUCACUAGAUGGAAUAGGUAUCUCCUGAUUUGAUGAACUUGACAUAUCCUUCAUAGGAAAUAUGUCCUCAAAGAAAGUUGCAUCAUUAGACUCCAUAAUCGUACCAGCAUGCAUGUCGGAUACCUCAGAUUUUAUUAUCAAAAAUCUAUAGCCAAUGCUAUGAAAAGCAAAGCCCAGAAGAACACAAUCCAUGGUUUUUGGUCCAAGCUUGCGCUUCUUGGGAAUUGGUAUAUUGACUUUCGCCAAACAACCCCAAGAACGUAGGUAAGAGAGUUUCAAUCUUUUCCUUUCCCAUUCCUCAAAUGGAGUCAUGGUCUUAUGCUUUGUGAAAACUCGGUUUAGGACAUGACACGCGGUCAUUAGCGCCUCCCCCCACCAUUCCUUGGAAAGACCCGAUGUGUCUAACAUGGCAUUAACCAAAUCAGUUAGAGUUCGGUUCUUUCUUUCGGCCACCCCAUUAGACUGAGGUGAGUAGGGAGGCGUCCUCUCAUGGAUUAUACCAUGUUCCGCACAAAACAGAUCAAAUUCAUUAGAAAAAUACUCUCCACCACGAUCGGACCUAAGCCGUUUAAUUUUUCGAUCAAGUUGGUUCUCUGCCUCAGCUUUAUAGUUUUUGAAGAAAGUUAAAGCCUCAUCUUUUGAUUUCAGAAGAUACACAUAACAAUAUCUAGUGGAGUCAUCAAUCAACAUCAUGAAAUAUCUCUUUCCACCUUUUGUCAACACGCCAUUCAUCUCACAAAGAUCAGAAUGUAUAAGCUCUAGUGGCGCCAAGUCUCUUGCCUCUGCAGUCUUAUGGGACUUGCGAGGUUGUUUAGCUUGCACACAUACUUGGCACUUAGAGCCUUUGACAGUAGAGAUUUUCGGAAUUAAAUUCAUAUUGGCUAGCCGCGUCAUGCAACCAAAGUUAAUAUGACAAAGUCGUGCAUGCCAAAUAUCUGACUCAUUAUUGUGGCAAAUAUUAUUAAUAACUUUAGUGCAAAUAUCUGACAAAGAUAGGCGGAACAAGCCUCCGCACUCAUAGCCUUUUUCAACAAAUUGUCCACACUUGGAAAUUACAACUUUAUUGGACUCAAAAACCAACUUAAAACCAUCUCGACAUAAACGGGAACCGCUAACGAGAUUUUUAUUGAUGGGCGGCACAUGAUGAACGUUCUUCAAACGCACGGUCUUCCCCGAAGUAAACUUCAGAUCGACCGUACCAACACCUCGAACGAUGGCAUGUGACCCGUUCCCCAUCAGCACGGGAGAAGUCCCUGUGGCUUGGUAAGAAGAAAACAUGGAGGCGUCAGCACAAACAUGUACAUUGGCACCAGUGUCAAUUAACCAAUCAGGAGAUUGAAAUACUGAAAGGAUGGUAGGAAAAAUACCGUACCCUGAUUCCUUCAUAUCAGUAUCACCGAUGACAACAUUAGCGGACUUGCCGUCCUUCUCAUGUUCGCGCUCCUCAAAGCGGUUAGGACACUUCGGAGCCCAGUGAUUAGGAUCACCGCAGACAUGGCAAAGUCCCUUCCCCUUCUUAUGAGAAUUCUUCUUGAAGUUGGUAGAAUGUGAUGGCUUGUUCUUUGUAUCAAACUUGCCUUUCCCCUGAGUUUUGUUCUUGUUGUUUUUGAACUUAUUGGGCUAGAAGUUCUUCUUCUGUACCAUGUGGGCACUACAAGCUCCCUCGGCAACUCGAGCACGUGUGUCCUUUGCUCUCGCCUUCUCUUCAACAUCAAGAGUACCAAUGAGAUCCGCAACGGAAAACUCCUGUCUUUUGUGUUUCAGGGAAGUAGCAAAAUUGUUCCACGAAGGUGGAAGCUUGGCAAUAAUGCCUCCGGCCACAAAUUUGUCCGGCAAUACACACUUGAAGAGCUCAAGUUCUUUUGCGAGCGACUAUAUCUCAUGAGCCUGCUGUACAACAGAGCGCUCAUCAGUCAUCUUGUAGUCAUAGAAUUGCUCCAUGACGUACAACUCGCUACCGGCGUCCGAGGCACCAAACUUGGCCUCGAGCGCAGCCCACAUGUCCUUGCCGUUAUCAAACGACAUAUACGAAUCCACAAUGGAAUCAUCAAGAACACCCAGAAGAGCGCCUUUAAAGAGAGUAUCGAUCUUCUCAAAAGCUUCCAGCUGUGCUGGAUUAAGAUCACCCUCAGGCUUGCCCUUAGUGGCGUCAUAGCAGCCCAUGGUCUGAAACCAGUAGACUGCUCUCGUGCGCCACCUCUUAUAUUGCGUCCCCUUAAAGGCAGGCGGCUUCAGAUGCGCAGCAAAACCACUCGGAGUAAAUUGCCUAUAAUCAGGUUUUUGGAUUGUUGAAAAUAUGAGCAAAUUACUACGAGAUUUAAUCCGAAUAAACAGAAGAUAAAUCAUGACUACAGUAGCAGAGAUUGAACUAAUCAUGCGAACUAGCAUAGCAGAUGAACAGAUCACAUCUAGGGCACAUACUAGAAACAUGAAUUCUACCACGAUCUCGAACAGGAAAGAUAGAAUCACGUACGGUGCAGCGGGAGCAGCACCGCCGUCGUUGACGUUGUCGCCUAUGUCGUCGAGGAUGAGGUUGACGAGGUCGGGGAAGAAGUCGUCGUUCGCGAAGUCGUCGCUGCCAGCAGUCGCGCGAGUGCGCUCCCCAAAAACCUGAUCGCCCCUCUCCCGUACAGGAUCACGAGAGGCGGGGUUCCGGAGGCCUGCUGUCCCUUCUCUCGGUGCACGCCGAAAGGAGGGAUGGAGAAGACUUGAUCGACGGCGCAAUGGACUGGAACGGUGGUGAGAAACCAUACGAAGCGGCGGCGGCUAGGAUAGACGUCUGCCUGACUAUAUAGUGCAGGCCGGGUAGGUCGUGGGAGUAAACCCCACGUCCGAGUCACGAUCCAAAAUAUAGACAACGUGCAUAGCUCUGUCCUCGGCUCGGCUCAAUCCCGCAACCAGCGGCGCGGCGCGACGAGCGAGGAGGAGGAGGAGCGCGCGUGUAGGUCUCCUCUUCUCAUGCUCAUACAAGUGGUAGGAGAGCUCACCUUAUAAAGAGGUGCAACUCUCUCUCAACUUAUGAGGUGGGACUAAACUUUAGCCUCACUCACUCCACUCACAUGUGUCCAUGAAUGGGCCAAGAGAAUUUCAGAAAUUUAGUUGGGCUUUGGGCCAAAAGCCCACUAGCAAAUUCCAACAUAUUGCCGAUGUGAUAGGUCGUCUUGUGGCUACAAGAGGCAACCAAGAACAUCCUCAUGCCAACAUAACGGCAAACGCUACCGCCGUGGAUUCAUCGCCGGAUGAAAGCAAAAUCACGUUGAAGUGGUGUGUGAGGAGGGACUGCGAUCGUCCAAAGGACCCGUUCGUCUGGAAAAACUGUUACUGCUGUGUCACGCAGCCGGGCAGUCCGUGUUGGCGUCAUGUGGAUGAAUGCCAAGCAAAUUGCCCAUCGUGUCAUUCUGAUUGCCCGUCUGCAUCAGCAAUAAUCGAGCUACACGCAUAAAUGAAUGCAUGCGUACUUGCUUAGAUAGAUAAAUUAAUAUGCUCGUUCGUUAGUAAUAUUAAUAAAGCUGGUCCGGGAAAGUCUUCCUCAAAUAAAGUACAGUACGUAGUGUGCUGCUGAUCGAUGACCUCAUUCAUGUACGCAAUAUAUAUUUCACACUAGUCUAUCUAUCUCUAUAUAUGCAUGUGGGAAGAACUGCAUCUACGCACUCCAAAAUA
rnacentral:lncRNA from 1 species